UUCUCUAAGCUUCCCGCCAUUUUCUCUUCUUCCCGCCUCCUUUCUCUCCCUUCUCUCUCUCUCUCCAUCGAUUCCAAGAACUCUCCAUGGAAUCAAAGCUUCGCACUAUGCCUUCCAAACGCUCCUCCGUUGUUCAUCAACCCCGAGCUCUACAAGCUGGAUUCCACUUACCUUGCAAAAGACCUAAGACUACUCUCCCCCAACCGCACCCGGAAGAACAUGCUUCCAAUUUUUUUGCCAAAGAUAUACGCAUCAAGCGAGUAUUCUCCCCCAAUUUACAGAAUCACUCCUCGGUGUCAUCCAGAGAGCCGAUUAGCGAUAGAGAAAGGCUAAUAACCGUGAAUGGAACUUGUUCGAAUGAAGACGGUGGAGUCGGUAAUACACAUGUUGAAUGCGAUGAGGGUCGGCGAUGUAAUGGGAAGAGUGAGGAACCGGUGCACUCUACUCCUCCUGAUGUGGAUAUUCUGACUCGGGGUUUUGUGUCGGCUUCUUCAAGUGGUUGUCCUCGAUCAAGUAAUGGAGGUGUUUUGGGAGAUACUUGUGUGAAAUCUGACUGUAGAUUUGACUCUGUUGCUAGAACCGGAUCGGUGCUCAAACCAUGUUCUAAACGAAACUUAUUCAAGGCUCCUGGCUCUAUUGCCUACAAAAGAUUGCUACCCUUUUUGAUGGAUAACGACAAUUACAAGCUACAAGUUGAUCCAAAGUCAAAAAGUGAGAACAAUUUGGUGAAGAAGUUGAAUAAUGAAUCUGAUCUGCGUAAUCAUGUCAAGGGCUCAUCUUUUCUUGGUUCAGACACUUGUGUAAAGAAUGCAAUUUUUGCCUCCGGCAUGUCAUGUAAGACUACGAAGCUAAAUUUACCACCUCCUGAUAAUGGAGAUACUUCGAAUUUUCAGAAUGGUGGCGGUUUCAACAAUAGCCAGAAUACAAUUAAAGAGGAUUCUGGUUUGAAAAAAGAUAAUGCAGUUUGUGCCUCAUCUCUUGACGAAGGGCUGACAGAGCAAUCAAAAAAUCCCGGGAUAGAUACGCUUGAUAGUGGAUCCAUUUUUGUAUCAGAAGUAGACAAUGUUAUGUCCCAUGUUUCAGAGGAUAGUAAAAGAGACGGUCAUUUCAAUGAACUCAGGAUGUCAUCAUUAAAUUCUAACAUUGUUGAUAGGCCAUUGAAUGAAGAAAGGAGGGAUGGAAAACUUGGUAGUUCUACUGUUGGUGAAAAUCAUUGUAGCAUUGCUACAGCGAGUAACAAGAAAAAUGGCGCCUGUGUUAGAAACAAACUGGUUCGCAAUCCACUUGUACAACUGAAGUCAAAAUACAGCCAAUUUUCAUUUAGCUAUCGAAGGAUGCGUCCAUUCCUUGAGGAUCUCUUCAAAGAUAAUCCAGAGAACUGUGACUCGGGAAACAUCAACAGUUCGGUACCAGAGAAAGAAUUUCCAACUAUGAAUUUGCAACCACCGAGUUCAAACUCUCACAAUUCCCAGGAUAAAUCUGAAGGCUUGGUAUCUUGCAACAUGCCAGUUGACGGAAACUCAUAUACUCCUUCAAUGCAUGUGUUGACUAGUAAGAAAGAAACAGAUUGUGAAACAGAUGAAGUUUUAUUGCCUGCUGGAGUCGAUGAUAAACUUCUAUCACCUCCAAACUUAACGUUGCACACUGAGCAGGAGAUGUUGGAUGAAUGUAAUUUGAAAACGGACCCUCAAUUGCCUGGUGCAACAUUUUUGAAUGAUCAAGCAGUGCUACCAUUGUAUCCUGCUGCUAGUUAUGAAACUCUAAUUGGAGAAGGAUUCAGAAUGACCUCUGAACAGUCACCAAUCACUUCAGAAGACUGCACAAGUUUGAAAGAUCGUGUUUCUGGUGGUGCUAAUAUCGAUGAGAGAAACAGCUUAGCACCAAAUUCCUCUUCUGUAGAAGGAGGUAUUCUGCCAGGAAUUCACAUAAAUCAUAGAAAGGGAAUUCUAAAACGAAGCACACGAGGAUGCAGAGGAAUCUGCAAUUGUCUGAACUGUUCCUCUUUUCGUCUUCAUGCUGAAAGAGCAUUUGAAUUUUCUAGAAAUCAACUGCAAGAUGCUGAAGAAGUUGCUUCAGAUUUGAUGAAAGAGUUGUCGUAUCUUCGCGGUGUCCUGGAAAAGUAUUCUGAUGUUGCAAAAGGGGAUGCUGAAUAUCAUCAUUCAAAUAAGGUGAAAGAAGCUUGUAGGAAAGCAUCUGAAGCAGAGUUAACUGCCAAAGACCGCCUUCAACAAAUGAACUAUGAGCUUAACAUUCAUUGCAGAAUCACGUGUUCCCAACGACCGAAUGUUAGUUUUUCUUGUGAAGUUGAGAAACUAGAUAUUGAAGAUGUAAAAUAGAGCAAAAUGAUGAACAUUACAAAUCUGUUACCGUCAUAAAAGUUGCGGCCUUGACUCUUCAGCUUAUGCAAGGCUGAGAUUUCAUGAAUGGUCUUUCAUUUCAUUUGGGAAUGCAUCAGAUGGGGAAAGGGUUGCAUCUUGAUGACGAAGGAACAGGUCGAGCCUAAUGAAGCAUGCUUUGGCCCCAAGGAUCAAAUUGGGCCUAGGAGGGGGUUGUCGAAGUUAGCCAAAUCUGAGGUCGAGCCUAACACGAUGGCCACUGAAGCAUGCCUUGACAUGGGGAGAGAAAGAAUGACCCUAACGUAGCUUCGAAACUCUAUGGAGGAGAACAUAAGUCACAUAUUUCUAUAAAUAUACAGGUAUAGCUUUAGGGAAGUAGGUCAAUUCUCACAAACUUCUAUAAUUUUUCACUCUUUGACUUGCAUUGUAGUGUGCAUGACAAACUCCAAACCAAUGUGUAAGUUUCUUUUUGUCUUGGAGGUCACAUGCUUCUCAUCUCUAAACAAAUUUACCGUUGUCAUUGGAUAAAUGUUAACUUUUUUUUCAAUCCAAA